UCUGUCCUGUGCUUUUGUGCUCUGUGUCUAUCACUUUGACAAGUGCCACACUGCCUUUAUUACUGGAGCUUUAGACUAAUUCCAAAAUCAGAUGGUGUGCAGGAAGAAAAGUCCUUGAUUAGUCCUACUGCUUUAGAAGACCAGGCACCAUGGUUUCCAUCAAUAAUAAGAAGGGAGAUCAUCACUUGGCUUCAUUGCUGUCUCUAAAACUCAAAUGAAUACACCUGGGAAGAUUCGAGAAGUCACUGAUUGGAUAGUUACACCAAAAUCAAAGAUCCAAGUCUAUAUGUGCUACAGAGCCAUCCCUCGCCCUAGUCACAGCCAUCUGGUUUCCUUCUACAUCUUGCUAUCUCAGUAAAGCUAAAGGAACAAGCUGAUCUGCUGGGAGCAAAUCAAUUUCUCAUUAUCCUUAAUGUGUGAAGAUGAGACUACUGACAGUGAUCACAGUCUUUGUCUACGGAGAGGGUUGAAAACUUGUGUUUACAUAACAGAAAAUGUUUUCAUAUAGAAGAGACGGAAUAGGCAUACAUGGCUGUGGGAUGCUGUGCCUUAACGUGGAAGCUAAUUCCUCUCAACAAAUAAACUGAGCAUUUCUCAACGUAGAGGGCUAAGAGGCCUCUUUCUGAGAAUGUGGAAGAAUUCGAAAGAGGUGUGCAUCUAUCAAGUACUUCAGAGUGCUUGAAAGAAUCCGUCUGGCAGAAUUUAGAGGUAAGAAGAUCAAAGCGAGGAGGGCCAGUGAAAAAAUGAGAUAAGGUUCCUAUUCUCAUGAAAUACACAUUCUAGUAGAGGAAUACAUAAUGCAAACAAAUAAAAACAUGAAAAGACUCCGGUGGUAAGUCCCAUGUGAAGAGUUAACAUAGGGUACUGUGUUGAAUAUGACUGGUGACUACCUUAUUUCGGUGGUUGA